AUUCUACCCAUGCGGGGAAGGAUGAGAAGCUUCGACUAAGGUUCGAUUCGAGCGCAGCGAGAAAGCGUUGCCGCAGGCAACGACCCGAAGGGCGAAGCGCGCUGCGCUGAGUC
rnacentral:sRNA from 1 species